rnacentral:rRNA from 1 species
UUCCAGACUCCUACGGGAGGCAGCAGUGAGGAAUAUUGGUCAAUGGGCUUACGCCUGAACCAGCCAAGUCGCGUGAGGGAAGACUGCCCUAUGGGUUGUAAACCUCUUUUGUCAGGGAGCAAUUGGCGCUACGUGUAGCGUUAUCGAGAGUACCUGAAGAAGAAGCCCCGGCUAACUACGUGCCAGCAGCCGCGGUAAUACGUAGGGGGCAAGCGUUAUCCGGAUUUACUGGGUGUAAAGGGGGCGCAGACGGCGAUGCAAGCCAGGAGUGAAAGCCCGGGGCCCAACCCCGGGACUGCUCUUGGAACUGCGUGGCUGGAGUGCAGGAGGGGCAGGCGGAAUUCCUGGUGUAGCGGUGAAAUGCGUAGAUAUCAGGAGGAACACCGGUGGCGAAGGCGGCCUGCUGGACUGCAACUGACGUUGAGGCCCGAAAGCGUGGGGAGCAAACAGGAUUAGAUACCCGAGUA